rnacentral:lncRNA from 1 species
AAGGUGCUGCCCCCUUUUCAGCACUCACAUCCAGCAGCACCAUCUUGGGAUGGUUUUUCAAACACAAGUAGCAUGAGGUAGCAAGCAUGGUGUGACAGGCUCAGGGCCAUAGGCAGCCGGCUGCUGGAGAAGCAGCACAGGGCAGGCACAUCUGUGGGUGGCACCCUGACAAGCCAAGGCAGCCACAGCCCCUACCCCCAACAGCCCCAGCCCAGAUGGCCUUCAGAUCUUCCCGGAUAGUAUUGGGGUUCCCAAUGCCCAUCACUCCCCUGCUUAUUAGCACUGCCUUGUGUUGGUUACUCAGGGACUAAGGAGAGGGGGUGGGGGAUGUAGAUCCAGGGUGGGCACUGCCUCACAGCCAGAGUCCACCUGACUGCAGGCCAGCAAGCAAGCCCAGCAGCUCAGCUCUAGACACUUAGCCUCACCACCUCUGGCUACACUUCCUACGUAUACUUUAUGCAAAGGUAGAAAAAGAGGUCAGUAUUAGCUGUUGUGACAUAAAAGUCUAUGCCCCAUUAAGACCUUCUUAAAAUGCUGUUGCCUUAAGCCCUCUUUCUUCUAAUAAAAUUUAUACAAAUACAUACAUACAAGCUGAAACUACUAUAAAUGAAAUAUUAGGAUUUUUUAAACCCAUAGACAAACACUAAAACAGUCACUGUUUGAAUGCAAAAAAAGUGGGAGUCUAAAGCAGAAGUGUGUGAGGGGAGAUG